rnacentral:rRNA from 1 species
GACAGAGGGUGCAAACGUUGCUCGGAAUCACUGGGCGUAAAGGGCGUGUAGGCGGGAAGGAAAGUCAGAUGUGAAAUCCCUGGGCUCAACCCAGGAACUGCAUUUGAAACUCCCUUUCUUGAGUGUCGGAGAGGAAAGCGGAAUUCCUGGUGUAGAGGUGAAAUUCGUAGAUAUCAGGAGGAACACCGAUGGCGAAGGCGGCUUUCUGGACGACAACUGACGCUGAGACGCGAAAGCGUGGGGAGCAAACAGG